rnacentral:rRNA from 1 species
AUGGAUAGCACACUUGGAAGAAACAGCAGCAAGCAAACAUGGCGAACUCCGGAACACGUCGACGUACGAAUGGACGGUCACAUCGACAUAUGCACAAGCCGAGGAACGGUAGCAGCUGAUGAUGCAAAGACUGGAGCCACUGAACAGGACAAAGGUGUGGGAUCGAGCAACCAUAGCGCAUUUGCUGGAGGCGGCCUUCUUCUUCGCACAUAUCUACACUUCAGUCCGGCCGGAGCGACGGCCGGCUUAGUUGCUCCUGUAGGACCCGAGCUUGGCGGCGCUGGCCCUCAGCACGUACUGGUGGUAGGCGGCGGCGAUGGCGGCGCCGAUCAGCGGCCCCACCCAGAAGAUCCACUGCACGAACACAAACAGCAGUCAGCACGUGGCAGGCAGAUCAGCGGCAGCGGCGCCGCUUCAUUGGAAGUUUAUGUGAUGUACGUACAGGACAGACGAAGCAAUCUUUAUUGCUUAUCUUAUAACGAUUUGAUUCGCCAUGGUUAG